rnacentral:rRNA from 1 species
AACGAACGCUGGCGGCAUGCCUAACACAUGCAAGUCGAACGAGACCUUCGGGUCUAGUGGCGCACGGGUGCGUAACGCGUGGGAAUCUGCCCUUGGGUUCGGAAUAACAGUUAGAAAUGACUGCUAAUACCGGAUAAUGUCUUCGGACCAAAGAUUUAUCGCCCAGGGAUGAGCCCGCGUAGGAUUAGCUAGUUGGUGAGGUAAAGGCUCACCAAGGCGACGAUCCUUAGCUGGUCUGAGAGGAUGAUCAGCCACACUGGGACUGAGACACGGCCCAGACUCCUACGGGAGGCAGCAGUGGGGAAUAUUGGACAAUGGGCGAAAGACCUGAUCCAGCAAUGCCGCGUGAGUGAUGAAGGCCUUAGGGUUGUAAAGCUCUUUUACCCGGGAUGAUAAUGACAGUACCGGGAGAAUAAGCCCCGGCUAACUCCGUGCCAGCAGCCGCGGUAAU